rnacentral:rRNA from 1 species
GACGAACGCUGGCGGCGUGCUUAAAACAUGCAAGUCGAACGGACUUCUCAUGAAGCUUGCGAUUGAGAAGUUAGUGGCGGACGGGUGAGUAACGCGUGGGCAACCUGCCCCUGAGCCCGGGAUAACAGUUCGAAAGGACUGCUAAGACCGGAUAUACUUGCGGGGAAGCAUUUCACUGCAAGGAAAGGGAACGCUCAGGGAUGGGCCCGCGUCCCAUUAGCUAGUUGGUGAGGUAACGGCCCACCAAGGCGACGAUGGGUAGCCGGCCUGAGAGGGUGAACGGCCACACUGGGACUGAGACACGGCCCAGACUCCUACGGGAGGCAGCAGUUGGGAAUCUUCGGCAAUGGGCGCAAGCCUGACCCAGCAACGCCGCGUGAGGGAAGAAGGUUUUCGGAUUGUAAACCUCUGUUCUUGGUGACGAAAAAGUGACGGUAGCCAAGGAGAAAGCCCCGGUAACUACGUG